UGGGGAAUAUUGGACAAUGGGCGCAAGCCUGAUCCAGCAAUGCCGCGUGUGUGAAGAAGGCCUUCGGGUUGUAAAGCACCUUUAUCAGGAGCGAAAACGCUGUCGGCUAAUACCCGGCGGAACUGACGGUACCUGAGGAAUAAGCACCGGCUAACUUCGUGCCAGCAGCCGCGGUAAUACGAAGGGUGCAAGCGUUAAUCGGAAUUACUGGGCGUAAAGCGUGCGUAGGCGGUUUCUUAAGUCUGCUGUGAAAUCCCCGGGCUCAACCUGGGAAUGGCAGUGGAUACUGGGAGGCUAGAGUGUGUCAGAGGGUGGUGGAAUUCCCGGUGUAGCGGUGAAAUGCGUAGAGAUCGGGAGGAACAUCAGUGGCGAAGGCGGCCACCUGGGACAACACUGACGCUGAGGCACGAAAGCGUGGGGAGCAAACAGGAUUAGGAUACCCUGGUAGUCCACGCCCUAAAGCGAUGCGAACUGGAUGUUGGUCUCAACUCGGAGAUCAGUGUCGAAGCUAACGCGUUAAGUUCGCCGCCUGGGGAGUACGGUCGCAAGACUGAAACUUAAAUGAAUUGACGGGGUCAUAGCUGUUUCC
rnacentral:rRNA from 1 species